rnacentral:lncRNA from 1 species
AGUACAACUAGUUUACAGUUACAUGCAGAUAAGGACUUCGUCCAUUUAUAAUCUGUUAAUCUCUCGAGUGAAGAAGACCAAAAGUUUGUGAAGCAGCACAUUCCAUGCAGAACACAGAUAGAUGAUCCAAGAAAUCAUCCUACAUAUAAAAUAACCAGUAUGUUGUCAUUUCAACGGUCUGUAAAUCAGCUCUUCAAUGGUCCAGAAAUCCCUAAUCGGCAUCCAUUACGUCUCCAGGUCUUCACUGUUACAAGGGUACAAUUAGUGUCAGGCACUAGAUUGUGGGUCCUCAUAAGAAAAAUAGUAGCUUCUGAGUUGUAACUAAAUUUAUGCAUACAUGUUAUAGUAAUGUUGUUCAUGUGUCAUACAGUAUGAGUUGGUUUCGAACAAAAUCCACAGAAGUAAUUCAUAUUUCAUAAAGUACACAUGACCAACCAAGAACCAACUAACGUCAUAUGGUAACAGCAUAAAAACUCACAAGGGAAAAUUCAGAGGUCUCUGUAUUACACAAUUGACAUGAUGCUCUAAAUUUAAACCAUUUCUGUAUCACAGAAGUAGAUGGUGUAAAACGCCGCAGGAUGACCAGUUCUACAUGAUGAGUGAUUGCUUUCUGGGGAUUGACAGAUCUCGCUGCCGAUAAACCGAUUUAAUCAUCUUUUGGACUAGAACCAAAAAUGGAGACUAGGAAUCCUUCAGAGCCAACUGGUAAGGGCUCAUGUCAUGUCAAUGGCUGGGGCCUAACAUAUAUUGUUCGUCAGCAUACACCACAGGACAGCUGAAAGGGACCAUAUUAGUCUUGCAUGUGGGGUAAUGGCAGCGGUGUGCAAGACAUCCAAAUGGCUUUGGGGUGUGCUUUGUCUUGGAGUUGGCUAUGGCCUACAGAUAGGAUAAUAUGAAAGGGUUCUUCGACAUUGACACGUGAGCUGUGAAAUUGGAACACUUCUACGUGGUACCCACCAGGCAACUGGCUUUGACAAGAACAAUUUAUGAUAUUCAGUUUCUUAUUGUUGGAUUCUUUAUAUGGUAUUAAGUGAAGGCUGCACAAAAUAAAAACAAAGAGCAACAAACAUGUGCUGGUUGGUGUUUCACUUUCUGAUGUUGCCACAUUAAACAUAUUUUAGGAAGGUAACUUAGGGCCAUGGUCUGAGUUUUGUGACAGAAGCCUAUGUCAUAAUAAUUUUGUCAUACACAAACCAAUUUAGGUUACACGGUUCAGGUUCACAGCAAAAUUCGGAAGAGAUGGCACUGCAGAGACCUAGACCCUUGUACCAAAAGUUGGAUGAACCAUGUUUCUGGAAAUUACGCUUAGUUCUCCAGUAGAGCAGUGUCAUAAAGUAAAAAGUUCAACAAUAAUUUCACUUCAAUUUUGGGGCCAUAAGUUAGCAACCCCCCACCCCCAGGUGGUAUCGAGUUACAUGCACCAGACAAUUCACCCAAAAGCUCAAGGUAAUCGAGAACCAUGUUUUAUUAGAGUGCCCCAAAUGGUCUUCGACUUGCCUGCAAUCAUGUUGAUAGCGCCAACGACGACUUGGGACAUGUCCACGGUCAUGAGGAGAACGGCCUAGGGUGGCGUGGAAGUCAGGAUGCAAGCUGGACGGGACUACCCGCUCGGCCGCAACACCGCCCCGCAAAGUAUGCCCGCUAAGCGCCAUUGGAUAGACCAUAUGGUCAUAAGAGGGCUCAAACGAUAUGGCCGCUUUGUCCGGCGGGCGCUGCAGCAUCCUGCAUCUCCAACUAAAACAUAACUCGUACUAUGAGCUCUAUCCAACCGGGAGAAUCCCCAAAAAUUCACACCAGUAAACGAGCAAGCCGGAUCUACUAUACAUGUACAGUAAACUCGCACCCUGAAAAUUGCGCGGCCGGGGGCGGUCUGCGGCAGGGCAGUGUUGCCUGAGGUGGCGCGGGAGAUGGACUGCAUGGAUGCGCAGUAGGGAAGCUGUGCUGGCUGCUGCGUGCUGCAGGUGAACUGUGCCCUGGAUGUGAGGAAACGCCUUAUGCCCUUACCUGCUUUCUAAUCCCUGUCACAGUUGCAUGAUUUUGGAUGUAUGCGGCUUUCACGAAUUGCCGCUUAACCAACAAGGAAACACCCGAGCACAUGCAAACCGCCGGGACCACGACCACCCGCACUAGCAAGUGCAGGCUGACCGUUUCCCGCCCCGCCUACAUCCUGACAUGGAAGGCAAACAUGGUCACAAUCACAACAGUCUAGCAGUUAGUCAUGGGGUCAGUGGACACACUCAUGGUGGUCGCAGGCAUGGCGGGUGCGUCCAAACGCAUGCAGCCUUGGAAGGCUUAGACUGAUGGGUCAUGGCCGAGCACGGUCCCGUGAUCACCAAAUGGCUCGGCCAGUCAAGCAGUAGAUGCAAACUUCGUCCUCCCGGUCUUAAAGGCCGCGGGCAUAGCAUGAACACUGGCCACCCCACUAUUGGCCUGGACAUGAAUGUUGGCUUUGGCGGAAAACGAUGAGCGACAUGGCUAAGAUGAAGGACGUGAGGGUAGCGGGAGUGGAGAGACGAAGGUCGUGAGGGCAGUGGGCUUGGACAUGGAGGUGGUGAGACUAGAGGGGAGGCCAAGAGGAUGUACAAGGUCGUAAUAGCGCAGGUAAUUGUGUACUCAUGAUUGUAGGAGCAAAUGAUGUACUCAUGAUGUAGGAGUAGAGAUCAUGGUCAGAUUUUUGAGAAUGCAGUAGUCGGCGUAGAGACCAUGUUCAAGUCUUAUGUGCAUAAGCAAUUUUAUGGAAAACACUGCCAUGACAGAGAAACCUGAGUGAAUCCAAGUUUUCUCUGCCACGGCAGUGACUUUCUCUUGAAAUGGCAGCAUCUUCUCACUAUUUUGUUCGAGUAAAAUAUUUUGGCAUGUCACUAUUUUUACUGUAGUGGUUCUUAAGCACCACUGGUAACAUAAGAGCUAAAACCAGACAAUAUAAAGAUGAAGAGAAGAUGCCAUAUAUGCGAUGCGCCUAGAGAGAACCACACAAGCUGUAUUCAGCCACGAAAGUGAGCUUGGAAGUGGCAUCAGUUGCUGUUUGUGUACAAUGUAGAACAUAUGGAAGAGAGCUUAGAAAGCAGGUAGAAUACAUCCAGACGCGAGCAAAUGGACUAAGAAUUAUGGUCCUAAAAGAUAAGAAUUUAAUUCAGAUGUUGUAAAGUAAGUACAAUUGAGCAAGGGAACAACUUUGAAAGAUCUUCCUAAAGAGCUACAUAUGGCGAAGACUACCUUGUGGUAGAGGUUAAAGGAAGGAAGGCUCAUCCGUCACACCAAUGUCAUCAAGCACACUUUAACAGAGGAGAACAAGUUUGGCAGAAUAUGGUUUUCUUUAUUCAUCUUUGAUGAUCAUAGCAUUUGGAAGAGCCCACAUCAAAAGGAUGUACAAUAUCAUACACAUCGAUGCAAAGUAAUUGUACCGCACUUGGGGUACUCAGAAUUAUUAUUUGGCACCAAAUGAGGAUGAUCCUGACCACAAUAAACAGAGCCAUGGUUUUAUCGAGAAAGUUAUGUUCUUGACGGAGGUAGAAAUGCCUCGACAGAUGUUGAUGGUGCCAUUACAUUUUAUUGGCAAGAUAGGCCUUUGAGCUUUCAUGUAUGAAAAAAUGGUAAAGACUAGUAAUAAAAUCCGUGAGGCGGGAAUGGUCACCAAGGUUCUACUGGCAGAUGUAAGUCAUGAUUACAUGGUUGAUAGGCUUCUUCCGGCCAUAAAGCAGAAAAUAGUUAAACAACGGAACACAACUGCAGCACAUACAUACAACAAGACAACACUAUUAGGACCAAUCACAGCGGCGGAUUAAGUUCGCUAAAGCAAAAGGUAAACAUGCACUUCAGAGAGGAACAAAUCUUUUGAGGAAAGAUGCGAUAAUUGUUCGUGCAUAGUAGAUCACAGGUCUGACUAUUACGAUGAUAAUGUAGUAGGUCAGCAGAUAUAGUAGCAUGUGAAGAUAUAUGACAACAAUAUAACCAAGAGGAAUACUAGCUAGGAAAACAGGUAUAACACCGAAUGAAAACAAGCUGAAUAGAUAGAGACAAGCACAGAGAAGAUCAUGCUGACAAACAACCUAAGUACGAACUAAAAGGAUGCGAACCGAUAGAGUGAAACAGAGGAAAGCACGAAAUACUAAAAUAGAUCAGAUAAGUCUAUCGACAAAGAGCACGAAAGUAAACUGCUAAGGGAAAAGAAGUAAAGUAAAGUGAACCAGUGGUGCUCGAUGGCGACAGAUGAAUUUGAUAGACCAGUUCACCCGUCUGACAAAGGACUAUGUCUGGUUGGAGGGACUUGUGGUUGAACACAAGAGCAAACCUGAUGCGGAGCAUCCUACGGACAUCACCAUGUCAAGAGUCCGUUUGGCAGGUGACACGUGCCACAUCUACUUCACAUACAUUAAGGUGAAUCAUCUCCUUUAUGCGUGUUCACUUGGCCCUUUCGAGAAUGGUAUACUACUUGAACCCCUCUCGUGUGCAUACAUAGGUAUUGUUAGAACUUCACGGAUGACAAGGAGUGCAAGUGCAAGGGAACGACUACACCAUACAAGAAGGAAGCGAAGAAGGAACUGUCAAGAGGAAGGCCAAGUUCCACCAACACCGACGGGAAGAUCUCGAGGAAGCCGAAAGCCAAUAGCACAAAGGAAGAAGACGCACCCAGGCGACCCCGUGCGCAUGGCCCCUCCUGACCCCUUCAGAGAGCUACUGGACAUACUCCGUGCGCACGGUACAAGCCCGUGCCCACGAUACAAGCCCGUGCACAUGGGCUAAGUUGUCAGGCCGCUGGAUACCCCGUGCGCACGGGCUCCACUUACCCCGUGCACACGGGGCUGCCUGUGUGCAGCUGUUGGGCUUUGCCCAUGUAUUCCCAUUUCGCCCCUCCUUACCCCUUCAUGUGUUGGACCUAUAUAUACUCCUCCAUUUAGGGAUAGCUAAGAAUAGAUCUAGACAUUAGAGCUUAACUCAUGUAUCUCCCUUGUGGGAUUCCUCUUGAGAGAGAAGACUCCAUUGGAGUUCAAGACCUCCAUUGGAGAAGAUUAUUAGGCAUUCAAGACCCCUUCAAAGGAAGAUUCCUCCAUGGAAUUCAAGACCCAUCUCUCCAAGAGAUUUGGAUGAACUAUCUUGUAUCUUUAUUUCCCUUGUUGUCUUUGGAUCUUGAUGCACCUCUUGUAUUGCUUGUGAUUUGAGGAGUACUUGGAGUGAAUUUUGUCCAUUAGAGUGUUCUUGUGUUCUCCCCUUGUGUUCUUGGUGUCCUUCCUCAAAUCCACCUCCAAUUCGUGAACAUCAGGCCACCUAAUGGGAGGUGGAUUUGAGGAAGAACACCAAAACACAAGGGGAAAACAUAAGAACACGACGUACUCCUCAAAGCACAAGUAAUACAAGAGGUGCAUCAAAAUCGAAAGACGACAAGGGAAAUAAAGAUACAAGAUAGUUCAUCCAAAUCUCAGGAGAGAUGGGUCUUGAAUUCCAUGGAGGAAUCUUUCCUUGAAGGGGUCUUGAAUGCCUAAGGAUCUUCUCCAAUGGAUGUCGUGAACUCCAAUGGAGUCUUCUCUCUCUUAGGAGGAAUCCCACAAGGGGAGAUACAUGAGUUAAGCUCUAAUGUCUAGGUCUAUUCUUAGCUAUCCCUAAAUGGAGGAAUAUAUAUGGUCCAAGACAUGAAGGGGUAAGGAGGGGCGAAAUGGGAAUACAGGGGCAAAGCCCAACAGCUGCACACAGGCAGCCCCGUGUGCACGGGGUAAGUGAAGCCCUUGCGCACGGGGUAUCCAGCAGCUUGACGACUUAGCCCGUGCACACGGGCUUGUAUCGUGGGCACGGGGUCUUGGGCCCGUGCGCAUAGAGUAUGUCCAGCGGAGUCUGGUAGCUCUUUGGAGGGGUCGUGCACACGGAUCAGGAGGGGUCGUGCGCACGGGGUCGCCUGGGCGCGUUUUCUUCCUUCGUGUUGUUGGCUUCCGACUUUCUCGAGAUCUUCCCGUCGGUGUUGGUGUAACUUGGCCUUCCUCUUGACGGUUCCUUCUCCGCUUCCAAGCUUCCUUCUUGGAUGGUGUAGUCGUUCCCUUACGCUUGCACUCCUCCUCGUCGUCCAUGAAGUUCCGACAAUACCUAUUUAUGCACACGAGAGGGGUGUCAAGUAGUAUACGAUCCUCGAAGGGGUCAAGUAAACACACGUGAAGGAGAUGAUUCACCUUUAUGUAUGCCAAACGGACUCUUGACAUGGUGAUGCCCGUAGGAUGAUCCGGAUGAAAACCUCUCUCCGUCCUAUUCUCCUUCAACUAGGAGCUGAUCAGACUCCAGUUAAUUUCACUCAUGGUAGAUACUUAUUGACGAUCUCCAAACCUUCGACAAACUUCUUCGCGAACCACAACUACUCUUGGUUGCUGAAGACUUUGCUUGGUGAAGACAAUUACUCUUCGUCACUCAAGCUGACACCUAUCGGUCUAGAGAGUGCGCAGCUCUAAGUGUAAUAGGUACAAGAACCCUAACUCAGAACUACUGUGAUACACAACUACUAUUUCGGUUCUUGGUUUUCUCUUGGUGGAUUUUAAACCCAAAUUUCUUGGAGAGGGGAUGCUUAAUCAAUCUUCUCAUAAAUCUUAAGCAGAACAGCCAACGGACAAUGUUGGAGCGGGGUGGCUAUUUAUAGCCGCAGCUUUCCCUAAUGGAAAUUGACCAAAUUGGACAUGCGGAUCAACCAAUGGCCGAACGACACGAUUCCAUCGGUCGGAAUUUGAGCACAACGGUAACAUUCAUUGCGGAGCAAGAAAUGCUAACUCCUCAGUCCGAAAGAUAUCUCAUGCAGCACCGAAGAAUAACGUCUUCUGUUGACAGGUAAACAUUCGAGAAUGUGGAUCUUCACGUUGCAUUGCAACAUGUAUAUGGCACAGGCACACACACUCGCUAACCACAGAUCUUCUUUAUGGCGGGAAGAAGUCUAUUAACCAAAUAAUCAUGGCUUACAUCCCGUGUCAGUGCCAGCAGAACCUUGUUCAGCAUUGAUCCCACCUCACAUCUUUCACUACUUUUCGCCAGCUUUUCAUACGAGAAAGACCAAAUGCCUAAAUUCCAACAAACGUCAUGAUACAAUCAAUGUCAUAUCGACCCUGCUACUACUACCAAGACCUUAGAUUUCUCAAUAAAACCUUAGCUCUGCUCACCGCGAUAGGGAUCAGCCACAUCUAGUGCCCAGUUAUAAUCUAAGUACGACAAGUGCGGUACAAUCAAUUUUGAUCAAUGUGUAUGAAACUUUACAUUCCUUUGAAUACAGGCUCUUCUGUAAUGCUAUGCAACAUCGAUAAACAAAUUUGGAUCCUGCCUAACUUGUUCUCUCGGUCAACAUGGACUUGAUGGCAUUGAUGUGACACAUGAGCCUUCCUUCCUUUAAUCUUUGCCACAAGGUAUUAUUUGCCAUAUGUAGCUUGUUACGAACAUAUUUGAAAGUUGUUUUCUUGCUCAACUCUACUUCCUUAACAACAUCCGAACUAAACUCUAUCCUCUUAACCAUAACUCUUAGCUCGUUUGCUUGUGACUCCGUGUAUUCCACCUUCUUCCUUUUGUCCCAUUCAUAUGUUGUACACCAUAUGCAAGGAACGAUCAUUGCUUGAGCCACUUCCAAACAAUUUUUUUGGAAGUACAACUCCCAUUGAGCCGGCGGCGAUAGCAUGCCAUGAUUCUUUAUAAUCCUUUAUCAAUUGGAAAGCGUGGGUAUUUCACUAAUUAUGUGUAGUCCUCCACUUGACUAGUGUCAUUAAGUGAAGAAGUCAAGCAAUAACUUCAUUUCCUUUUCGGGGCCACAAGUUAGUAUUCCCCUAGAUGGUCUGUGCAUUGCUGGAAAUGGUGAGAUCAUCAAUUGUGCCAACAUAUGGCGUGGCAUCAUGGCUAGCGGCAUGUAAGUCGUACCAGCGUUCAAGACCCCAGUGGUAAAACCAAUUACCGCAAGUAUCUUAUGAUCCUUGCCGAAUUCAGUUUUCCAAAAGUAGAUUGGGUUGAAUUUUAAUAUUAUAAUAACUAAAAUUUUGAAACUAUCUUUGGAAUAUAUAUGUCCAAAUCAAGCAUUCAAUCAAAUGUGAAAUAUAAAAGGGAUGGUGAGUACUAAGAAGAGAAACCAAACUCAAAAAGUUGACUUUUUUGACAAUAGGGCUGAACCCAUUCAUGGCUACCCGCUACCAUAAGGAAAACAAUAAGUAGAACAAAAUGUUGCUCAUGAGUAAAACAUGGUAUAAACUAUAUAAGUUUGCUACUGUAAACCAUAAUUUCUUCAUUUGACAUUAUCUUGACUUCACCGCCGGUAUAGUAACUACUCUUACAAAAGUAAAUUCUAAUCUGAAAACAUCAAUCUUACGUAUGCUAUUUUAAUCUACUCAUUGAGAUCCAGGUAAGAGCUUACCAGUUUCCAUUUGAGAGGCUUCCUUUGCAGCGAUAACCCAAGUUGAUUUAUCAGUAUUGAAGCAACAAGCAAGCCCAUCUCUCUCAAAAAGUUCAACUCGUCUCCUCCACCAUCAGCAUCCACUACUACCUUAAAUCUUCAAACCGUAAACUUUACUAACUCUCAAUGUGACCAUCCCAUAAAUAUGUUUAUGGUACUUGAUUCCUCAUAGGUGUAGCUCCUUUGGGUUCAUGGUACUCCAACAGUAUAAUAGUUCUUGAACUACUAACUGCCC